rnacentral:rRNA from 1 species
AUUGAACGCUGGCGGCAGGCUUAACACAUGCAAGUCGAGCGGAGAUGAGGUGCUUGCACCUUAUCUUAGCGGCGGACGGGUGAGUAAUGCUUAGGAAUCUGCCAUUUAGUGGGGGACAACAUUCCGAAAGGAAUGCUAAUACCGCAUACGUCCUACGGGAGAAAGCAGGGGAUCUUCGGACCUUGCGCUAAAUGAUGAGCCUAAGUCGGAUUAGCUAGUUGGUGGGUAAAGGCCUACCAAGGCGACGAUCUGUAGCGGGUCUGAGAGGAUGAUCCGCCACACUGGGACUGAGACACGGCCCAGACUCCUACGGGAGGCAGCAGUGGGGAAUAUUGGACAAUGGGCGGAAGCCUGAUCCAGCCAUGCCGCGUGUGUGAAGAAGGCCUUUUGGUUGUAAAGCACUUUUUAAGCGAGGAGGAGGCUACUAGUACUAAUACUACUGGAUAGUGGACGUUACUCGCAGAAUAAG